rnacentral:misc_RNA from 1 species
CUCAAAAUACUGAAACCAUGCAAAGUAUCCAAAAAGCCAGAGAGAACACACAAAAAUUAGAAAAACCAAAUUAUCGCUUCUUGGAGACACCAACAGUCUUCCCCCUGCGGCCAGUGGUCUUGGUGUGCUGGCCACGCACUCGAAGACCCCAAUAGUGACGAAGACCACGAUGGUUUCUGAUCUUCUUCAACCGCUCAAGAUCGUCUCUCAGCUUCAUGUCCAAUGCAUUGGAUACAACCUGAGAAUACUUUCCAUCCUUGUAAUCCUUCUGUCUGUUCAGGAACCAAUCUGGAAUCUUGAAUUGGCGGGGAUUUGCAACAAUCACCAUAAGUUUGUCAAGCUCUUCAGC